CCCCGUGGGGUCCCUUCAGACCGGACAGGAGGUCAUCGUUUCUCCAAACAGGGAAAGGCACAUUAUACAAAUGCCCGGUCAAACCCCCAGAAGAAUGCGUGGUUGGACCAAAGCAACCCACGGCAGGCGGGCAAUACGCUGCUCGCCGAGAAGCUGGUACAUCAGGGAGGCGGGGCUGGUGGUGUGCCCCAGGGCUCGGUUCAGGUCGUCUCCUCUACCAACGGUGACCUGGCGAACGAUGACCCCACCACAGGGCACUCCAACACACCCAUCGCAUUACCUGUCGAAGUGGAAGUCGUCUCAGAUACCAAGUGCUGCUGCUUCUUCAAGAAGAAGAAAAAGAUAGGGCGCCAGAAGUGACUGGCCCUGGCGGCUUCGGCCACACCGGACCAGGAGGCCACACUGCUCUGGACAUCCCUUCAGAUUCCAAGGAGAGUGUGCCCUGUGCUGCCCCGCCGCAUGCCACGGUGGCUGCUGGUGCGCCACACGUCUCGUCCUCAGCCUUCUGAUGGCACCACACUAUUUAUACCAGACACUCCUCACCAUGCCUCUCACCACCCGGACUGCUGAGGAAGAGAAGUGGCAUCGCCCAUCUCUUUCGUUGCUCGGUCGGUUCGGAGAGGAGCACAUUGCCGCUGUGUCAGACAUGCUGUGCACUCUUACUCGCAUGGUGGACAGACAGGAGGCAGGGCUUUCUUUCUUUUUUUUUCUUUUUUUUUCUUCUUCUAUGGAGGUGUUUGCAGUGGCCCAACUGUUGCUAGGGCUGUUGUGCAAUGGCAGUGUUGAAAGGCGGUGGGCCUUGCCCGAGCCCCCCCUCCCCACAUUGUUUCAUUACCAGGUGACCUGUCUUGCCAGUUACUACACACCCAUGGACAAGUGCUGUCAUAAGUUGCCAGUUGUCUUGUGAAUGCAUAACACUUUACCUACGUUGGUGUGUUGCAGCAGUCGGCCCUUUUCUUUUUCCCCCCUCUGCUGCCGUUGCAGCUGAAGAGAGCUGGCAAACAAAUAUUUAUGGCAGUUUGGAGGUUCUCGGAUGUAACGGUAAGGGUACAUAAGAUUCACCUUAGAGAGGCCUCGAAUCUUUUAAUGCUGCCCGGGAGGACGAUAUUUUUCUGUCUUGCCUUCCCUUUGCCCCAGCUGGCACAAGAGAGUUCUUUUGUUAAAUAGGUGUUUUUAUUACUUUUUCUUUUUUUCCUGCUUUUUUAAAAAACACUUGGUUCCAACAGAAACUAUGGCUCGCUGGCGAGUUAGGUUUUUAUUUCAAUGCCGCUGCGCCUUUGCAGGCCUCUCGCCACUGUUGAUGUCUGAUGCCAUCGGGCACACGCUGACUGAUGUGUGCACUGAAGAUACGUGCGAGUACAUAUAGUCACGGUAACUUGAGGAGCAGAACAGAGGGGGAGAAAAGAGAAAUUUUUUUCCAUUGAGCGAGAAAAACUGAGCAGCGUUUCCUCUCACCCAGCCAUGUCACAUUCUUUGGUAGCUGGCACGUGACAUCACUGCAGUCUUCACGUGUCAAGCAAAAAGUGCAUGCCUGGUGCAUAUCCAAGCGAGGAGUGAGCAGUCAAGUCACCAAGUGACGGUGACACAAAAGCGAGCGGUGGUUGUUGAGCACAUACACAGGGCAGGAUUUAGAAAGAAAGGCAAGACAAGUUGCACAUGUCUGAAGGAGCUUGCUGGUCGUGCUCACAGAGGAUGAAGUUAGGGAGUGGAGAGGGUCAAUGUUUGAAGGUCUUCUGGCCUGCCCCCCACAAAAAGAAAAAAAAGAAAAAAAAUUGUGUGUGUGGUUUACCACAAACAGUGUACAAAUUGUAAAGAAUAGUUUCUUUCUUUCCUCUUGCUGUCACAUCUUUCUUUGUACCGGUCUUUCCUAUUUUUUUGUGCUCUGUCGUCUUAUUAUUUUUUGUAAUAAUCAGGUUAAAGGCUGUUACGACAUUUAGGAGUGUUGGAAGCCAAGAACAGCAAGGUCGUAGGCGUGAGAGUAAUAUGCUGAUUUAUUAGGGCCAUUGGCGGUGACCAUGGCCCCCUCUCGUCUUUCUAUUCCGCUCCCGCCCCAAAUUCUAUCCCAUGUAUGUGAUCGCUGUAACAGAGUGCGCCUCUUUCCUCCUUGUGUAUAAUACAUUUAUCUCUGCUGCCUUGUACAUAAAGAAACAUAAUAGGUGAAACAAGAGAUGCCACUGCUUUUGUUUUUCUUUUCCCCUCCCCCCCCCCUUUUUUUUUCAUUCUUCAAUCUUCACUUUUAUCUGGGCAUGUUACAAGCACAGUUGUUGAUGUCUGCUCUUACAGCACUCUUAG
rnacentral:lncRNA from 1 species